rnacentral:misc_RNA from 1 species
AGGAUUUUGAGGCCAUGGUAGCAAGAGAGGCAGGAGGAGAUGGAACAGUGACAUUUGAUGUGUGAGAAAUUUCGGCAACAGUCAUUUUAGCUGCGAGUUUGGUUGACUUUUCAGAAGAACUGAAGCUGGCAGCCUUUAGUUGCUUUGCAGGAGAAAAUUCACCUAAACCAUUCUUAGAUACCACUUUUUGUCCCUGCGGAGUAACUUCUUUCCUGGAACUGUUGUCUCGAGGGAAAAUGUAUUCCAAGUUUGUCUUGAUUUUGGCAAGACCAGGUUGCCUUCGGUUGAACAUCUUGCUACUGACAUGCCCCGCCCGUGUUUUUGAAUUUGCUUCUUGCCAACCUUCAUCGGAGCUUGUUUCAUGUAUUAUUUCCACUGGUUCCUCAUUAUUAGUGAUAUUAAUGCCUUCAACUUCUUGAGUAGCGACUCUCUCUACAUCAUCUUCUUUCUUGUUAACUUCUACUGUGGUCACAGGAUUUUCUGUAACAUCAUG